UCGCGCGAAAUUUAGUUUGGACUGGGCGACAAGGACAACACGAAGACAAGUUGUGGAACUCGUGUUAGACGGGAAAGAAGGAUUGGCCCUCUUAAAAGGACGUUCCGAAAAUCAAGCAAGAGGAUAGUGCUGGUUCGGUUACAGUACCUCAGCGUGAUGUAGCCUGGAAUCUUGUUUUAACUGGUUCUCCUUUUCUCAGCCAUGCUUCGAAUUGACUGAGAAAAAAUGGCGGAUGUGAGCGGGAACCUGCUUUUUGUUGGUUCAUAUCGGGAGGCAAAAAAGGAUUAUGGAUGUUGAUAAACUUUGCAAUUAUGUAGGGCCUAAAUGACAUAGAAUACCUUUAGGCAAGGUGCUCGCAUUUCUUCCCUGGCUCCAUUCAAAUAUGAUCACAGGUGACACGCAAUCGGCUGCAGAUUGACAAAGAUUGGACAUACUGCACGUAUCUCAGUGAUAUUGUAUUGGCAAAAGCUUACGAGCAUGCAUACGAAGUACACGAAGAACACGAUGCUAUCACUGAAGGAGGAACCACAAGUAACGUAAGGCAGCAUUGCCCAGUGGUGGAGAACACACGAGGUGCAAAACACAAAAA